CUUACAGGAUCCUGGAGGUCUGGCUCUUGUCAAGCUAAGGUUGCCUUGAAGGCAGUUGUGAGCUCCCUGAGAACUGUCAUACUCAGCCUGUCUCAAAUACUGGUCCGUGGGCGGCAAGUUCUGACAGGUAACUGAUCUGUGGAUGGGCUCAGAACCAGCACUGUUCUGUGGGAAUCUCUGCCCUUCAUUAUGGAAAACAUAGGAUCCGAUUUCACCAUAGGUGUUGGCCACACAACAGGUAACAGAAAAUAGAUCACCAGAAAGUUAUCUGACCCAUGCAAUAUUUGGAAAUACUUAUGCCAACUUGUUGAAGCUCACAUGUAACUCAGAACCCUACACCAGUAACAAAAGGCCUAUAAGUCAGAAUUCUUUGGCUCUGCUUGCGACAGAAACCCAG